CCCGCUAUGGUGAAAUCGGUAGACA
rnacentral:tRNA from 4 species